GACGAACGCUGGCGGCGUGCUUAACACAUGCAAGUCGAACGGAAAGGCCCUGCUUUUGUGGGGUGCUCGAGUGGCGAAAGGGUGAGUAACACGUGAGUAACCUGCCCUUGACUUUGGGAUAACUUCAGGAAACUGGGGCUAAUACCGGAUAGGAGCUCCUGCUGCAUGGUGGGGGUUGGAAAGUUUCGGCGGUGGGGGAUGGACUCGCGGCUUAUCAGCUUGUUGGUGGGGUAGUGGCUUACCAAGGCUUUGACGGGUAGCCGGCCUGAGAGGGUGACCGGCCACAUUGGGACUGAGAUACGGACCAGACUGCUACGGGAGGCAGCAGUGGGGAAUAUUGCACAAUGGGCGGAAGCCUGAUGCAGCAACGCCGCGUGCGGGAUGACGGCCUUCGGGUUGUAAACCGCUUUCGCAUGUGACGAAGCGUGAGUGACGGUAAUGGGCAAAGAAGCACCGGCUAACUACGUG
rnacentral:rRNA from 1 species